rnacentral:rRNA from 1 species
CCUACGGGAGGCAGCAGUGGGAAUAUUGCACAAUGGGGGAAACCCUGAUGCAGCAACGCCGCGUGAGUGAAGAAGUAUCUCGGUAUGUAAAGCUCUAUCAGCAGGGAAGAAAAUGACGGUACCUGACUAAGAAGCCCCGGCUAACUACGUGCCAGCAGCCGCGGUAAUACGUAGGGGGCAAGCGUUAUCCGGAUUUACUGGGUGUAAAGGGAGCGUAGGCGGGGUGGCAAGUCUGAAGUGAAAGCCAGGGGCUCAACCCCGGGACUGCUUUGGAAACUGUCAUGCUGGAGUGCUGGAGAGGUAAGCGGAAUUCCUAGUGUAGCGGUGAAAUGCGUAGAUAUUAGGAGGAACACCAGUGGCGAAGGCGGCUUACUGGACAGUAACUGACGUUGAGGCUCGAAAGCGUGGGGAGCAAACAGGAUUAGAUACCCGAGUAGUC